rnacentral:rRNA from 1 species
CAACCUUUGACAUCCCGGUCGCGGGCACCAGAGAUGGAGCCUUUCAGUUCGGCUGGACCGGAGACAGGUGCUGCAUGGCUGUCGUCAGCUCGUGUCGUGAGAUGUUGGGUUAAGUCCCGCAACGAGCGCAACCCUCGCCCUUAGUUGCCAUCAUUCAGUUGGGCACUCUAAGGGGACUGCCGGUGAUAAGCCGGAGGAAGGUGGGGAUGACGUCAAGUCCUCAUGGCCCUUACAGGUUGGGCUACACACGUGCUACAAUGGCGGUGACAGAGGGAUGCAAUGGAGCAAUCCUGCGCAAAUCUCAAAAAGCCGUCUCAGUUCGGAUCGUGCUCUGCAACUCGAGCACAUGAAGUUGGAAUCGCUAGUAAUCGCAGAUCAGCACGCUGCGGUGAAUACGUUCCCGGGCCUUGUACACACCGCCCGUCACACCAUGGGAGUUGGCUUUACCUGAAGACGGUGCGCUAACCGCAAGGAGGCAGCCGGCCACGGUAGGGUCAGCGACUGGGGUG